rnacentral:rRNA from 1 species
GAGUUUGAUCCUGGCUCAGAUUGAACGCUGGCGGCAGGCCUAACACAUGCAAGUCGAACGGUAACAGGAAGAAGCUUGCUUCUUUGCUGACGAGUGGCGGACGGGUGAGUAAUGUCUGGGAAACUGCCUGAUGGAGGGGGAUAACUACUGGAAACGGUAGCUAAUACCGCAUAACGUCGCAAGACCAAAGAGGGGGACCUUCGGGCCUCUUGCCAUCGGAUGUGCCCAGAUGGGAUUAGCUAGUAGGUGGGGUAACGGCUCACCUAGGCGACGAUCCCUAGCUGGUCUGAGAGGAUGACCAGCCACACUGGAACUGAGACACGGUCCAGACUCCUACGGGAGGCAGCAGUGGGGAAUAUUGCACAAUGGGCGCAAGCCUGAUGCAGCCAUGCCGCGUGUAUGAAGAAGGCCUUCGGGUUGUAAAGUACUUUCAGCGGGGAGGAAGGGAGUAAAGUUAAUACCUUUGCUCAUUGACGUUACCCGCAGAAGAAGCACCG